UCUNNGUCGACGAUUCCUACGGGAGGCAGCAGUAGGGAAUUUUCGGCAAUGGGGGCAACCCUGACCGAGCAAUGCCGCGUGAAUGAAGAAGGUCUUCGGAUCGUAAAAUUUUGUUGUUAGGGAAGAAUAGUAGAUAUAGGAAAUGAUAUCUAUGUGACGGUACCUAACUAGAAAGCUCCGGCUAACUACGUGCCAGCAGCCGCGGUAAUACGUAGGGAGCGAGCGUUAUCCGGAAUUAUUGGGCGUAAAGCGUGCGUAGGCGGUUUAUUAAGUCUGAUGUGAAAUCCCCCGGCUCAACCGGGGAGGGUCAUUGGAAACUGGUAAACUUGAGUACAGUAGAGGCAAGUGGAAUUCCAUGUGUAGCGGUAAAAUGCGUAGAUAUAUGGAGGAACACCAGUGGCGAAGGCGGCUUGCUGGGCUGGAACUGACGCUGAGGCACGAAAGCGUGGGGAGCAAACAGGAUUAGAUACCCUGGUAGUCCACGCCGUAAACGAUGGGUACUAAGUGUUGGCAGAGAUGUCAGUGCUGUAGUUAACGCAUUAAGUACCCCGCCUGGGGAGUACGGUCGCAAGACUGAAACUCAAAUGAAUUGACGG
rnacentral:rRNA from 1 species